GACUAACUCGCCGCGUGCUGGCUAACUUUACCCGCUGUUUGCUAACGUUGCUGACAGGGUCGCAACCGUCUGUCCACUAGCUUUACAGAGUGUACCAGCCAUCUUUUGGGUAAGGAAUCUCUUUGGGCCGAAUUUGCUCCAGAAUGCUCUGGACUGCCUACUGCUGGAAUUUCUCUUUGGCUACCGUAAACUUCAGCUUUACAGAUGUCAUGUCAGAGAAAAGGUAAUUUCACCCACCCAACGCACCACCCAUUUUAUUUCUUGAGGGUCACAAAAGGAGAUGUCUAUUUGAGGUGCUGCAUUUAUUUAUUCAAGUGAAUGAUGCAUGCAGUUAUUAAUUGGGGCAUUGUGUCUUUUAGAGUGAAGCCAUUAUUUGAGCAAAUGUAUUAUGCCUAGUGAAAUAAUAAUAAUAAAUAAUAAAUGAUUGCAAGCUAGAAUCAUCCUUAUUUAACAUUGCUCCUGUCCUUAUACGUUAAAAAUACAAUUGCUUGCAAGAGAGAGCUUUUUAUUGCAUGUGAUUCCACUUAAGGGUACCAGUUGGUUUGAAUAAUAAAGCGAAACAGUCAACUGCAGGAUGUGACUGGUUCCCCUUUUUGAAAAAAAUAAUGGAAGAACUCCAGAGCCGUAUGCAAAUGCUGCAGCGCUACGUCGCCCUUCGUUUCAUGUUGAAAAGAGGAAAGGAACGCCAGGAUCUGAGGUGGACGGCGUAACCAAAGUAGUCAUUAGGAAGAGUCUCCAACCAAUUUCCAUAAAUGCGGUAGCGGGGAAGUAUUUAGGCAACUCGAAGUACAUCACUAAUGAGAAAAGACAAAAAAAGGAUUCAUGUGCAUGUUUUAUGUGAUCUUCUUUCUGGGUAGAUGAAUAAUUAUUUAUGAUUGUAGAGGCCUAAAAAGGAGACAAGAUAGCUGGGCGGGGAGGAGCGGUAAAAAAUUUACAGGCCAAGUUAAAUGAAUAUUUUAAGGAAAAUGAAAUAUUUAAAGGAAAUAAAUGAGCAAAACAUUUAAAACAGCAUGAUAAAUAGAAGCAAACGCCAUUGAAACAGCCCUCUGAUUUGUGCGGCAGUAGCCGUGAGGACUGGGAUGAUUGUUUUCCGAAUGCCAGUCAUACCAGGCCAGAGCGUCUGUAACCCAGGGCUGACCUCAGAGCUGAGAAAUAUUAGCCAUGGAUUCAGUGUCGCGUGUGCCGGCUGUUACAAGGCACACGCGUUUCAUUGACCUCCUGCGGGCUGCGGUUUAGGGUUGGCGGGAAAAAGAGAACGCAUGAUGACAUAAAUUGCAAACAUGGCUGGUGUUCUUUUCUCCAGAGACAUUCCGCAUUAGAAUGUAUCACAACAUCCACGCACUUUGUGAAUUUCACUUCCCGUCACAAGAAAUUAAGAAACAAAUAUAUGUCCUCCACUGCUUUUUAUGAGCGCACAGUCAUUUGUUUUCCAAAUGUGAAAAUAAUUAAAUCAGCAAACAAAUAAUCCAUCAAGUCAACAAGAACAAUUAGCUCAAAUAUGCCUCUGAGACUCCGUCUGCAUACUGAACUGAUUAAUUAUCCCGCUAAAGAUAAUUGAGUGCGGCUUGAUAUUUGACUGUGUCCCCCCCAACAUGCUCUUACCUCCGUUGUUAUCCUAAGAAUAUCGUUUAUAGUACGUAGCCAUACCCGUGUGCGCUAAUAAAGCUAUUUUAUUAGGACACAGGGGAUGUUUUAAGAGUUUUUCGCUUUGCAGCCAUGUUGGUCCCCAGCUAUGUCAUUACUGGAGCAUAAUGAACAACCUCAGAACUCCAGAGCUUGAAAUUUGGACCCCGUUUUCCCUCAAAUAAACUUCACGAAGCUCUGGAUUUGCAAUACAUUCUAAUCUUUAUCGAAUAGCUUAUUCAUUGCAUUAAGAUAUAGCAGUUACCCUUGCUCGCUGAUCCGAGUUCAACUAUGUGGGCGACGCUAUGUCCUGGUCGCUAACCUGUAGGCGGACCAUUACUUACUUCUGGGCCAGACAGACAUCAUUACCCCUGUGAAUGAUGGGAAAACAGCCCGAUCCCAACAGCUUUAUUUCCCCGCUCAGCUCGGCGGACGCGAGCUAUCACAUCCCGUUAACAAUUCCAUGGCUUCACCGUAAAAAGCUAAGCUCCCUCAAUCAGCGUUGUCUGUUUCGCUCGCCAACUGAAGGGCCAUCGUUCAUCGCGCGGCGGGACAAUAGACCACACCACCCUCUUCAAUAUUCACUUGUGAUUGACGAAAGUUCGGCGAUUCAGUCGGAGAUGCAGAGCACAAUUGUGACUUGCAGACUUAUGUUUACGCCACAUUUGUUUGGCAUGGUUUUGUGACGUUGUGAAUAUGGAAAAGACAGGAAGUCGAUGUGCUGACUAAGAUGAGUACUCUUAUGGAAGUUGAAAAAUAAAAUAUCUUUGACAUUAA